ACGGGAGGCAGCAGUCGGGGAUAUUGCGCAAUGGAGGAAACUCUGACGCAGUGACGCCGCGUAUAGGAAGAAGGUUUUCGGAUUGUAAACUAUUUUAGACAGGGAAGACAAUGACAGUACCUGUAGAAUAAGCUCCGGCUAACUACGUGCCAGCAGCCGCGGUAAUACGUAGGGAGCAAGCGUUAUCCGGAUUUAUUGGGUGUAAAGGGUGCGUAGACGGGAAAUCAAGUUAGUUGUGAAAGCCCCUGGCUUAACUGAGGAACUGCAACUAAAACUAAUUUUCUUGAGUGCAGGAGAGGAAAGCGGAAUUCCUAGUGUAGCGGUGAAAUGCGUAGAUAUUAGGAGGAACACCAGUGGCGAAGGCGGCUUUCUGGACUGUAACUGACGUUGAGGCACGAAAGUGUGGGGAGCAAACAGGAUUAGAUACCCUGGUA
rnacentral:rRNA from 1 species